GACGAACGCUGGCGGCGUGCUUAACACAUGCAAGUCGAACGGAAAGGCCCUGCUUUUGUGGGGUGCUCGAGUGGCGAACGGGUGAGUAACACGUGAGUAACCUGCCCUUGACUUUGGGAUAACUUCAGGAAACUGGGGCUAAUACCGGAUAGGAGCUCCUGCUGCAUGGUGGGGGUUGGAAAGUUUCGGCGGUUGGGGAUGGACUCGCGGCUUAUCAGCUUGUUGGUGGGGUAGUGGCUUACCAAGGCUUUGACGGGUAGCCGGCCUGAGAGGGUGACCGGCCACAUUGGGACUGAGCUACGGCCCAGACUACUACGGGAGGCAGCAGUGGGGAAUAUUGCACAAUGGGCGGAAGCCUGAUGCAGCAACGCCGCGUGCGGGAUGACGGCCUUCGGGUUGUAAACCGCUUUCGCCUGUGACGAAGCGUGAGUGACGGUAAUGGGUAAAGAAGCACCGGCUAACUACGUG
rnacentral:rRNA from 1 species